AGAGUUUGAUCCUGGCUCAGGACGAACGCUGGCGGCGUGCUUAACACAUGCAAGUCGAACGAGACGAUUGAAAGCUUGCUUUUGAAAGUCGAGUGGCAAACGGGUGAGUAACGCGUAGACAACCUGCCGUAAAGAUGGGGACAACAGUCCGAAAGGACUGCUAAUACCGAAUGUUGUGGAACUUCCGCAUGGGAGCUCCACUAAAGAUGGCCUCUACUUGUAAGCUAUCGCUUUACGAUGGGUCUGCGUCUGAUUAGCUAGUUGGUGGGGUAACGGCUUACCAAGGCGACGAUCAGUAGCCGGUCUGAGAGGAUGAACGGCCACAUUGGAACUGAGACACGGUCCAGACUCCUACGGGAGGCAGCAGUGGGGAAUCUUCCGCAAUGGGCGCAAGCCUGACGGAGCAACGCCGCGUGAGUGAAGAAGGGUUUCGACUCGUAAAGCUCUGUUGUCGGGGACGAAUGUGGAGGUUGUGAAUAACAGCUUCCAAUGACGGUACCUGACGAGGAAGCCACGGCUAACUACGUGCCAGCAGCCGCGGUAAUACGGUNNNGGCGAGCGUUGCCCGGAUUAUGGGCGUAAAGGGAGCGNNGCGGAGAUCAGUCUUNNUUUANA
rnacentral:rRNA from 1 species